rnacentral:snoRNA from 1 species
AUGUCAUGAUGAGGGCAUUUCAUAAUAACUCCUUGAAUCACUCCCAUGCCUCAUAUAAAGAUUCUUCAACAAGUUGUUGUGACUGUCUCUAUUGAUAUAUUAUAUGAGAUU